rnacentral:SRP_RNA from 2 species
GCUGGGCGUGGUGGUGCACACCUGUAAUCCCAGCUACUUGGGAGGCUGAGGCAGGAGAAUUGCUUGAACCCGGGAGGUGGAGGUUGCAGUGAGCCGAGAUUGUGCCACUGCAUUGCAGCCUGGGCAACAGAGUGAGACUCUGCCUCAA